UUUGCCAAAUGUCAAAGCAACAAUAUUUAUUCUAUAGCAGUGAAAGUUAAAGAAAAGUUUUGCUUACUAAAAAAUAAAUAUAAGAGCAAACAUUACAGCCAAGGGUGGCUGUCACAAAGCCAAUUCUUUUUGUGUAGCCAGUGUAACAAAAAGAGUUGGGAAUUCGUAAUGUUUGGAUCUGUUCGUCCUGGAGUAGAAGGUGACCAACUAGGGUGACGAAAAAACAACAGUUUGUGUGCGCUAGUUAGCUACCUGUUCAAAAUAGGAAAAUAUUGGGCUGUGAUACAAACAUAAGAUGUUUGGACAAUGAGGCGAUAAUUAACAGCUGAAAUCAUUGGGAAAUUUGUGAUAUGAUGAGGUACCUGCAAAUGUAUAUUGGAGUUUUUUCAUAAGUUUGUUAUACCAUCUUUGGAAGCUGUUAAAUAUCUGAUGGGCAUAUUAUAUUUAGUCGGAAGAACACUGUAUACAGUAACUGCCUAUACAUAAAUGAUAUUUUUUUUUAUGGAAGCGAACAACAUUGUGUGCAGAACAGGCUUAUAAGACAGAUCUAAAAGGACCAAUAAGAAGACAAUGGAAAUUUUGUUGAACAGAUGAGUUUUCUUUUUUUUUUUUACUUCUGUCAAGUUUCUUUAUACUAAUGUUUUUCUUUUUCUUUGCAGCAUUUUUUUAAUAUGGGACUAUAUUAAUGUUCUUUUCCAUUUCAGGUGAAUUGAAUUGCUGAAUAAAUUGACUGCGUGGAGAAUUGCUUUGUAUGGAUUUCAGAAGGAAUGCUGUGGAGUUGCAAACGGGAAUUGAUAUGUGAAUACUUCUUUUAUUUUAAAUAUAUAUUUAUAUAUAUUUUAUUAUAGCGAUAUUAAAAUAUUUUAUUUUUUUUAUAAUUUACAUAUAUAUAAAUAUGUUUGCACUUUGUAGAUAAAUAAAAAUAUAAAUUAUUUUUUUUAUUUUUUUGCCAAAAAUAUUUUGUUUGAACUUGUUAUAAAUCUUAUAAACUUUAUGUUUCUUUCUUUUUUAUAUACUUUUUUUUUUUUAUUAUUUAAUUUGGACUGAACUUUGUUAACCAGACACCUGUUCAUAUUGUUAUGAUGUAUAGAAUUCUGUAAACAAUUUUUUUGUACUUUUUCUUAUUUUUAAUGCUCUAAUUUAUUUUAAUUAGAAAAGUAAAUAGCAAAAAGAAGUAAAUUGUUGUUUUAUAUAUA